CAGCUGCCCAGGUCAGAGGGGGGAAGCAGGAGACUUUUAACUUGGGGAUGGGUUCUCUUAUUGGCUCCCCACCACACCCUGCUCUAGCUGCAGUUCUGCACAGAAAGAAUUGCACCGCUGCACCCUGGGAAAUCCACAAGCUGGUGGCCUUUCAGAGAUCCCUGAAGGGAAGAGGAAAGAGAAUUUUACUGAAGCAGAGCACUAUUUGUGGUAGCACUAUUUGUGGUCUGUGAAGAAAUAUCUAUUUAAAAUAAAUAUAUAUUGGAUUGAAUCUGUUGCACCAGGGUCAGGAAGAAGGGCCUGGAAAGGUAGACAGCAUCAGUAAAACUGAAAUAAACCAUGGAAGUAAAGCUACAGGGUUCACUGGCAAUAGAAUUGGUCGGAAAUCAUGAUCAGAAGUUUAAAUUGUAUGGAGAUGAAGGAGUUGCAUAAAGAACCUUGUCCUUCACUAUGUGGCAGUCUUGUAAUCACAUUGCCUAAGCAAGGGGGGGGAUGGACAUAGAGAAAUAGUAGGUAAUCAAUAUGAAAAGUCUAUGGUGAACCUGUAAUAGCAUCUGUAAUAAAAAAUACAAGCUAAAGGUCUGUAACCAGAGAAAUGACACUUUUUAAAGGAAUGGAAUCCAAAGAUGGGUCUUCCUUUGGCUUAAAGCUUUGAGAAGAAAGUUUUCUCUCUUUCUGUGUUGGUCUGACCUACCUUUUAAGGCAUGCACUUACAGAUGUGUCUGCAGUGGUCCCUGUGCCAGCUCAUCAGAGCAUGCAAGCAGCUGAAUCUACCAAGUGCACACAGCUCAUCUUUCUGUGGUGUGUCUCCUCUGAUGGAAAUGCAUUCAUUUAUGCAUUGCAGCCACAUCCAAGAAGAUCAUGGUUGUAUUUUUAGACAAAAAGUAAAUAAGAGUGUGUGAAUUUCAGAGGGUGCUAUGGUAUAGCAAUUGAUAAGAGGACUUAGAAAAUGCUGGUGGCUUAACCAGACCCUGCAUGCCAAAUUCAUUUUCUGACUCUACCAGAGACAUCUCAGUGGCUUUGUGUUCCUCCUCCUCCCUGCCACCACACUCACAUGAACACAUGUACACGUAACUCCCCCUGUCUUGUACUUCUAGGCACUCUCUUAUUUAUACUGGCCAGAAGUGAAACAACUCUGCAGCCUGCAGAACUGCUCAGUAUACCACCUAACAGUUUUACCU
rnacentral:lncRNA from 1 species